CCAUAAUCUAGUAUCAUACAUUUAUAGAUAAUUUCUAUAUUUUAAUUAUAUUAUAGCACAUAUAUUAGAUAGCUUUAUCUGUACGUAAGGAGAUGAUAUGAAUUGUCGGAUCUUAUCCUGUUGCUUCUCCUGUCGCUUAUGCAUUAUUAUUAUUGUUAAUGUAAUUUUGUUACAAAUCCUAUUAAAUUAAACUGAACUAAAUAUAAAUUGCGAUAUCUUCCACUUUUUCAUGAAAGAACUGAACAAUCUUUGUUGGAAAAAGUGUUAAACAUGCAGACGAGAAGAUCAGCCAAAGCAAAGUGUGUAACCAACCUGCUGCUUGGAGUUUUUUCUUGGUUCGGAAAAAUGUUGUAAAUAAUAACUGCAAUGUUUCCUAAUACACCAAGAAAUAAGAAGAUGAUGAAAUGAAAUACCAUUAAGAUAACACGGUUAUCAUCGUCAAGUUUGCUUGAGCAAUUAUAAUAUUACGCAUGCAUCCUUGUUCCCUGUUCUUCUUUUCAAAAAUAUCCGUUGCGUGUAGGAAUGAUAGGAAACACUCUUGACCGUUUUGGACAACAAAACCUUUAUUCAAACAAAGGUGUUCUAGCAAUUUCGCUAGAUAUUUAAACAGUUUAUAUGUAGGUGAACCAAUGUCAUUGUAAUCAUAGUCAAUCAAUCCAUAAGUCAGUUAUUUUGUGGGAAAAGCCAUGCCCAGGCAGAAGAAAAGAGUUUCCCAUAAGCCCUUGCGUAUUUUUUAUGUCUUAAUGCAUAGAUGAAGGCAUUAGCAAUAGAGUUUAUACCAAACAGCUCGAGAACGAUCAGAUAUGGAGUGUAUAAGGAACAUGGAUGUUCAUAUUUGAAAUACCAAACACUGCUUCCAAGACAAUAUAUGGAACAAAACAACAUGUCAAGACUCCAACAGUAAUGGCGAAUGUCUUCAUAGCUUUCACAUCCUUUGCAAGAUGACGUAACCAAGUCAUGGUUUGUUCCGACUCUGACUGUUGAGGCUGUAACACAAAUUCUGAUGCCAUCCUUUGUCUUUGCUCUUUGACGAUCUUGAACAUUUUGUAAUUCAGGGUUGUCAUGACACAAAUGGCGGCUAAUUGUUGGAUGAUUUGCAACCAUAGAACAAGUCGUGAACAAUGAUAUUUAAUGCAUGUUUUGUUGUGGUCCAUAGAAAUAUAUAUGAAUGGAAGCUGAAUUACCAUUGCAGCUAACCAGAUGCCUGUGAGAAGUUUGGAAGUUCUUCGUGUUGUCACGAUCAGUGGAUAUUUCAGUGGCUUCGCUAUAUACUGAUAUUUGUCAAUU
rnacentral:lncRNA from 1 species